rnacentral:rRNA from 1 species
UACGUAGGGCGCAAGCGUUGUCCGGAAUUAUUGGGCGUAAAGAGCUCGUAGGCGGCCUGUUGCGUCCGCUGUGAAAUCCCGGGGCUUAACCCCGGGCGUGCAGUGGAUACGGGCAGGCUGGAGGCAGGCAGGGGAGAACGGAAUUCCCGGUGUAGCGGUGAAAUGCGCAGAUAUCAGGAGGAACACCGGUGGCGAAGGCGGGUCUCUGGGCAGUAACUGACGCUGAGGAGCGAAAGCGUGGGGAGCGAACAGG